rnacentral:rRNA from 1 species
GACGAACGCUGGCGGCGUGCUUAACACAUGCAAGUCGAACGGAAAGGCCCUGCUUGCAGGGUACUCGAGUGGCGAACGGGUGAGUAACACGUGGGUGAUCUGCCCUGCACUUCGGGAUAAGCCUGGGAAACUGGGUCUAAUACCGGAUGUGACCUUCCAUGUAGUGUGGGGGGUGGAAAGAUUUAUCGGUGUGGGAUGAGCCCGCGGCCUAUCAGCUUGUUGGUGGGGUAAUGGCCUACCAAGGCGUCGACGGGUAGCCGGCCUGAGAGGGUGGACGGCCACAUUGGGACUGAGAUACGGCCCAGACGCCUACGGGAGGCAGCAGUGGGGAAUAUUGCACAAUGGGCGGAAGCCUGAUGCAGCGACGCCGCGUGGGGGAUGACGGCCUUCGGGUUGUAAACCUCUUUCGACAGGGACGAAGCUUCGGUGACGGUACCUGUAUAAGAAGCACCGGCUAACUACGUG